UGCCAUUCUUCUGACUGCCUGGAUUUUUGUC
rnacentral:piRNA from 1 species